UCUACAGAACCACGACAGCUCGUCUUAUUGAAGAGAAAAAAGACAUUCUGAAUUCAUGUAGCAUCCUGAAACUGAGUUGUUUCCAUGGGGUCGGCUCAGGGUGGCUAGUCCUCUAACUGGCUCUCUCUAGACCAUUCAUUUCCUCAGACCCUUCAAUUACUUUUUACAUUUUCUGUUAGCAGCAUUUUGAUAUGGAACUGUUGUUUAGACAAACUCUUCAAAGGAGAUCAUUGCUAACCCUCUUGUGAAUUUGCUUCUGACAGGAAAUGUUCAAGAUGUUUUUAUCCUUGGCCCAUUUCCAAGAGUGGAAAAGGUUUCACUAUUUUAGAAAUGCAAGUUAAAACUGCAUCUGCAUAACUGAUUUAUCUCCCCAAUCGAUCUGACUUGACAAUCAGCGCUAAUUGGAGCUCUCUUUUUCUCUCGCUCUCGCUCACACACACACAACAUCUAAGGGCGAACUCAUUUUGCUAUGUGGGAGCUGAGUGAAGCGAUAACCCCUCAGUGAUGAUGGUUUGACAAAGACAAGCCCUGUAUUGUGCAGGAGCGCUAUUGACUUUCACAGCACUAUUCUUCUGUGAAAGACCCAGCGCGUAUUGGGCUAUAUUAGAACCCUAUAGAUGACGGGUAGAGAUGCUGAUGGGUAGAGAUGCUGAUGGGUAGAGAUGCUGAUGGGUAGAGAUGCUGAUGGGUAGAGAUGUUUGCAGGGAGGAGAAUUUUCCACCAAGCCAGCGGCAAGGUGUAAUUGAUCCCAGCUGCAGCGAUGAGAACUACUCCCGGUGGAUUGAGCGCGCACUUUCUGGCAUCUAGUCUGGUGAAAACUUCAGAUCAGCGACACCUGUAUCCAUUACUGUUGCCACCACAACAGGACAAGUCACCCGACCGCGGGCUGUCACUGUCUGCAAGAGCCGAGCGAUCAUUUCACGUGUUGCUGUUUACUGCUACUAUGAGAACAAGCAAAAUGGCAGAUGCACAUUUGUGGCUUGGAAGCAAAAGGCAUGAUUUCUAACAAGGAGAGCGAAGGUAAGGAAAAAGAUGUCCGAAUGACUCAACUCUGCCCAUAGUUUGAGAAGUGAGAACACACACACACUGAUCUACAACUUCAUUGUUCCAUAAACAUACCUUACAUGCAUUAAGAUUCUUAGGCAGCUAAACCAACUUUUAUUUAUGCUUUUAAUUUAUUUAUUUUUUUACAUCUACAAAUAGGUAGCGAGGCAUUGGAAAACCUCCCCGGUCUUUGUGGUUGAAUCCGUGUUUGAAAUUCACUGCUUGACCGAGGGAUACAUUUACGUGUGGGGUACAGAGGUUGUUAAACAUUAUUAUUGAAAACAGAGUGAGUCCAAACAACUUACUAUGUGUUCUUGCUGAGCAAAUGUUUAGUCCUGAACUGUAUUUAGACUUGCCAUAACAAAUGGGGUUGUCAGGUUCGUCGUAAGGAUCAAGGCGCAGCGUGAGUAGAGUUCCACAUCAUUUUAAAACAAAACAACCAAACAUACCGCUACUGAUGUACACUAAGGCAACUAUACAUAAGAUAACUAACUAUACAAGAUCCCACAACACAAAUGAGGAAAAUGGCUACCUAAAUAUGAUCCCCAAUCAGAGACAACGAUAAACAGCUGUCUCUGAUUGGGAACCAUAUAAGGUAGACAUACAAAAAAAAACCUAGACAUACAAAAACGAGAGUACCCACCCAAGUCACACCCAAAUAUAUAGAAAAACAGAGAUAUCUAAGGUCAGGGUGUGACAGGGGUUGAACUAAUACUUAUUGACACAAGACAUUUCAGCUUUUCAUUUUUGCAAUACUUUUUUACAAAAAAUAAAAUAUAGAUUUUAAAUUCAGGCCGUAACAACGACAAAAUGUGGAAAGAGUGUGAAUACUUUCUGAACCCACUGAGGCCUUUUGUAUUACACAACGACGACGUGCCCUAAACAGAAUCCUAUUUCCUAUAAUUUAUGGGCCCUUGGUCAACAAUUUUUAUUUUUUUAUUUUACCUUUAUUUAACCAGGUAGGCAAGUUGAGAACACCUUUAUUUAACCAGGUAGGCAAGUUGAGAACAAGUUCUCAUUUACAAUUGCGACCUGGCCAAGAUAAAGCAAAGCAGUUCGACAGAUACAACAACACAGAGUUACACAUGGAGUAAAACAAACAUACAGUCAAUAAUAAAGUAUAAACAAGUCUAUAUACAAUGUGAGCAAAUGAGGUGAGAAGGGAGGUAAAGGCAAAAAAAGGCCUUGGUGGCAAGGUAAAUACAAUAUAGCAAGUAAAACACUGGAAUGGUAGUUUUGCAAUGGAAGAAUGUGCAAAGUAGAAAUAAAAAUAAUGGGGUGCAAAGGAGCAAAAUAAAUAAAUAAAUUAAAUACAGUUGGGAAAGAGGUAGUUGAU
rnacentral:lncRNA from 13 species